rnacentral:rRNA from 1 species
AUUGAACGCUGGCGGCAUGCCUUACACAUGCAAGUCGAACGGCAGCACGGGGGCAACCCUGGUGGCGAGUGGCGAACGGGUGAGUAACAUAUCGGAACAUACCCUAGAUGGGGGGAUAACGUAGCGAAAGUUACGCUAAUACCGCAUACGAUCUAAGGAUGAAAGUGGGGGAUCUUCGGACCUCAUGCUCAUGGAGUGGCCGAUAUCUGAUUAGCUAGUUGGUGAGGUAAAGGCUCACCAAGGCGACGAUCAGUAGCUGGUUUGAGAGAACGACCAGCCACACUGGAACUGAGACACGGUCCAGACUCCUACGGAGGCAGCAGUGGGGAAUUUUGGAC